UGCAGAUUCAGUCCCAGUCAGGACACAGCAUUGACGUGAUGGUUCCUACUCACUUUCUGGGCUUUUUGCUGCUCUGGAUCCCAGGUGUCAGAUGUGACAUCCAGUUGACGCAGCCUCCAUCCAAAUCUGCAUCUGUGGGAGACACAGUCACCAUCAGUUGUCAGGCCAGUCAGGGUAUUAGCAAUUACUUAAACUGGUAUCAGCAGAAACCAGGGCAAGCUCCUAAACUCCUGAUCUAUGGUGCAACCAAUUUGCAGUCUGGAAUCCCAUCGAGGUUCAGGGGCAGUGGAUCUGGGACAGAUUUCACUCUCAGCAUCAACAGCCUGCAACCUGAAGACUAUGCAACUUAUUACUGUUGGCAGUAUGAUAAGCUUCCUCCCACAGUGAUACAAGCCAUGACAUAA